UUACGGGAGGCAGCAGUGGGGAAUCUUGCACAAUGGGGGCAACCCUGAUGCAGCGACGCCGCGUGAGCGAUGAAGCCCUUCGGGGUGUAAAGCUCUUUCGGCUGGAACGAUGAUGACGGUACCAGCAGAAGAAGCUGCGGCUAACUACGUGCCAGCAGCCGCGGUAAUACGUAGGCAGCGAGCGUUGUUCGGAGUUACUGGGCGUAAAGAGUGCGUAGGCGGUGACCUAAGUCUGGUGUGAAAUCUCCCGGCUCAACUGGGAGGGUGCGCCGGAAACUGGGUUGCUUGAGUGUGGGAGAGGCUAGCGGAAUUCCUGGUGUAGCGGUGAAAUGCGUAGAGAUCAGGAGGAACACCUGCGGUGUAGACGGCUGGCUGGACCACGACUGACGCUGAGGCACGAAAGCGUGGGGAGCAAACAGGAUUAGAUACCCCCGU
rnacentral:rRNA from 1 species